rnacentral:tRNA from 1 species
AGUCCCGUAGCUCAGUUGGUUAGAGCACUACACUGAUAAUGUAGGGGUCCGCAGUUCAAAUCUGCGCGGGACUACCA